rnacentral:rRNA from 1 species
AACGCGAAGAACCUUACCAAGGCUUGACAUGGCUGGAAUCUCCUGGAAACAGGAGAGUGCCUUCGGGAAUCAGCACACAGGUGUUGCAUGGCCGUCGUCAGCUCGUGUCGUGAGAUGUUGGGUUAAGUCCCGCAACGAGCGCAACCCUUGUUGUCUGUUGUAUUUUUCAGACAAGACUGCCCGGGCCAACCGGGAGGAAGGUGGGGAUGAGGUCAGGUCAGCAUGACCCUUACGCCUUGGGCUACACACGUCAUACAAUGGCCGGUACAGCGCGCUGCGAAGUCGCGAGACGGAGCUAAUCGCACCAAAACCGGUCUCAGUUCGGAUUGCAGGCUGCAACUCGCCUGCAUGAAGCUGGAAUCGCUAGUAACCGUGGGUCAGCAUACCACGGUGAAUACGUUCCCGGGCCUUGUACACACCGAGACGUA